rnacentral:lncRNA from 1 species
AGAGCUUCCUGGUAUUUCAAGGUGCCAGGAUCUAUUUUUGUCAUCACCAGCCAGGAAGGAUACAAGGCCUCUUCCAAGAUGAAGACGAAACUAUUGACAGAUAUUUUGUCAAGACCAAAUUUUCCCUAAGGGCCCUGUCAUAGAUUGUUCCCUGGGCAGGAUGCAGCCUCCUUCAGAGAGUGAAGAACACACCAAAAGAUCCUCUACUAAAUUAAUCAUAAGCCACAUGAGGCAGGCUGGAAUACAGUUACCAAUCUGCUUUAAUUCUCCCACUUAGAUGGCCUGAAGCCGCCUGAACUGAAAGUUGGAUGAAGCUCGGCUUUGAGUUUCAUCGCGGGGCAUCGUGUGGCCUAAGUCCUUAGCCAAUGCCUGCCAAAUAUUAGCUUGAGUCGCAAUAAAGAGAAAAGGUCCAAAUUCUCCCCUUGACUAAUGAUUUAUUCAUCAAACCAACAUGUCUCAAACCUGUAAUUCUAGUUUUGUUUUCUGAAAAGAUGUCAUUCUAUUUGAAAGAGAAACAGCUGUAGGGAAGGAGAAUAAGAACUUUCAUGGAACACACAGCAUGUGUCGCGCACUCAGCAUGUAAAGUCACGUGGCCCUUACUACAGCCCUGGGGAGGUGAGCAGUGGCUCUGCUUCACAUACAAGCACCCUGACACUCCAGGAAAUCGGUCGUCACCCAGCACCCUCUAACUAGGGAAGGAUGGAAUCCGAUUUGAACUCAGGUGUGCUUUUUUUCUCCAGGAAGCAUACUUUUCUUUGCCAUCUUCAGUGAUGAGAGUAACAGAGACAGAAAGAUAAAAGGAGUUGACUGCUCACGAGGCUGUUGCUGGACUUUUUAGGACAGUCACUGGAAGAUUCUAGUGUGUCUUCUGAAUUGCUGACCAUAAUUCAUUCUCUUCCCUCUUUUGCCUGGUUUGUUAUUUGAUCCCAAGACUGUGCUAUAAGUUUUGGGUUGAUAAAAGAGAGCUAAGAGUCCAUGAAGCGCUCACACCUCCCGUCGAAUACCUGAUUCCUACAAUGCCUGCUUCAAACAUAAUGGAGAAAAUAUUUGCAAGAAAGUUGCAUGCAAUGAUUAAACUGCAUUCCAAAUAUAAUUUUCCUCUUGUGCCAGAGGAGAUUAAUUCACAUGGACUCAAAAGAGCCUUGGGGACAGGUUUUUGGAAAACCAGACCCUGGCAUUCCGGAUGCUAAAAUGCUGUCAGUAAUACUAAGAGUGCUUAGGUCUCCUGCCUCCUCAGCCCUCUGGAAAGAGCCCCAGGGUUAUUCGAGUUGGGAUCAAAUAAAGGGGGUCAUUAUGAUAAAAAGUGGGUGACACCCCCAUUCCUCACCUAGAGAACUUACUUAGCCUUCCCAUACACCUUCUUCAGUAAAAAUCUCCCUUCAACUUAGAUUUCAAUGUGAAGAUUUUGGUUCCACCUUGACUGAAUACUGGAAUAGUUUUUGUUGCAGACUGGGAGCCAACAGUUUACCUUCAGAGUGAGAAUAUGUAUGGGUUCCUUAAAAACAUGCAGUAUGGCCGGGCACCAUGGCUCAUGCCUGUAAUCUCAGGACUUUGAGAGGCCAAGGUGGGCGGAUCACUUGAGGUAAGAAGCUUGAGACCAGACGCCAACAUGGUGAAACCUGGUUUCUAUUAAAAAUACAAAAAUUAGCCUGGCGCAGUGGCGGGUGCCUGUAAUCCCAGCUACUCGGGGGGCUGAGGCAGGAGAAUAACUUGAACCUGGGAGGCAGAGGUUGCAGUGAGCUGAGAUCGAGCCACUGCACUCCAGCCUGGGCAACAGAGCAAGACUCCGUCUCAAAAAAAAAAAACAACAACAUACAAAAAUGCCUUUGGGAUUCAGCGUAAUCUGCAGGUUAUAAAAGCAACUGCAAGGAUGAUAGGAGCUUUUUUCACCACAGCCUAGGAUGCCUUUGAGAAAACCGACAAAUUUGAAAACAUGAUAAAG